AUUGAACGCUGGCGGAAUGCUUUACACAUGCAAGUCGAACGGCAGCACGGGGGCAACCCUGGUGGCGAGUGGCGAACGGGUGAGUAAUACAUCGGAACGUGCCCAGUCGUGGGGGAUAACGUAGCGAAAGCUACGCUAAUACCGCAUACGAUCUACGGAUGAAAGCGGGGGAUCGCAAGACCUCGCGCGAUUGGAGCGGCCGAUGGCAGAUUAGGUAGUUGGUGGGGUAAAGGCUCACCAAGCCUUCGAUCUGUAGCUGGUCUGAGAGGACGACCAGCCACACUGGGACUGAGACACGGCCCAGACUCCUACGGGAGGCAGCAGUGGGGAAUUUUGGACAAUGGGCGAAAGCCUGAUCCAGCCAUUCCGCGUGCAGGAUGAAGGCCCUCGGGUUGUAAACUGCUUUUGUACGGAACGAAACGGCCUUUUCUAAUACAGAGGGCUAAUGACGGUACCGUAAGAAUAAGCACCGGCUAACUACGUGCCAGCAGCC
rnacentral:rRNA from 1 species